AAAAUCUUGAGCACCGCCGAGGAGUGGAAAGAAACCCUCAAAUCGCAUCGCCUCCUCCUCCCACGCCGGCCGGAAUCCUCCUCCGCAGCCGCCUACCUCAGUCUACCUCCUUCUUCCCCACGCCGAGCGAAAUCUCUCUCUCUCUCCGUGAACUUGUUCGAGGUCGGCGUUUGCGGGCGCGGGGGAGGCGCAGGAGUCAGAGCAUCCGCGGCGACCGGAGAUCAAGGAGGAGGAGGAAGAGGAAGGCGCGGGCGCGUUGAAGGCGGACUCGCCGUCCUUUCGGCGCCGUGAGGUGACCUGCGCGCGGCGGAGCUGGGUGUCCACUCAGACUGGUCCUUUUGACCCGUGCUUCAAGGCUGAGUAGUGGCGGCUCUGGCUGCGAUGGACAGAACAAUCGGUGGCGGUGUCAGAGGGGAAGGCGAGAAGAAGGCGGCUGCAGCGUGCGACGUGGAGGCGCUGCGCAAGUGCCUGCAGGAGAACAAGGGUGAUCGUGUCAAGUGCCAGGCUCACAUUGAUGCCUUCCGAUCCUCAUGUUCUGUCAGCCCCACCACUACCUCCGACGGCCAUCCUGACGUAAAAAAGGGAAUGUGAAACACAAUGGUUCUGUUGCUGGGGUAGUCUUACAAGAAACUGCAUGGAAUACUUAUGAUGAAUAAGGUGAUGACGCAAAUGCAACAUAUGUGGAUGGUCAUGUGAAAGAGGAUAAUUAGAACUUAGGGUAUGUUUGAUUCGUAGCCAACAUGUACCUUACCGAUUUUUUUGGCUGUGACCAAAACUUUGGUCAUGAUUUGGAUGGUUGUCAACUUUUUGGCAUGGCAAUGGCUUGUUACCACUCUA